rnacentral:rRNA from 1 species
AGAGAGAGACAUGCGCGCAUAUCAAUAAGCGGAGGAAAAGAAACUAACAAGGAUCCCCUUAGUAACGGCGAGUGAAGCGGGAAGAGCUCAAAUUUGAAAUCUUCAAGGUUUUACCUUGACGAAUUGUAGUUUAAAGAAGUGUUUUCUGCUGAAGUUUUGGUAAAAGUUCUUUGGAAUAGGACAUCAUAGAGGGUGAGAAUCCCGUAUUUGACCAUUAUUUUCAGCUUUGUGAUACACUUUCAAAGAGUCGGAUUGUUUGGGAAUGCAGUCCAAAAUGGGUGGUAAAUUUCAUCUAAAGCUAAAUAUUGGCGAGAGACCGAUAGCGAACAAGUACCGUGAGGGAAAGAUGAAAAGAACUUUGAAAAGAGAGUUAAACAGUACGUGAAAUUGUCAAAAGGGAAGCGUUUGACACCAGUGUUGUUUUCUCGAAAAUCAAUUAAAAAUGGCUCGAUUUUGUAUUGUUGAGACCUUAAAAGCUCACUGUACAUUUUUCGUGUCUUUUUUAAUGCACUUUUCGUUUAACAAGUCAACAUCAGUUUCUUUUGUUGUAAAAGGGUCAUUGGAAGGUGGCUUUCUUUUCGGAGAAAGUGUUUAUAGCCUUUGGCCUCUGCAAUCGGAGAGACUGAGGUCUGCAGCGUAGGACUCCUUCGGGGUUAGAUACAUUUGUGCUAAGUUAUAGCUUUUUAUAGACAACUUGUUGACUAUAAUUAGUCUUGUAGCUUACUCGCUUAUGCUAUUUUACCUACGCUUAGGAUGUUGAAGAUGUAGCACAUCAU